rnacentral:rRNA from 1 species
GACGUAGGGCGCGAGCGUUGUCCGGAAUUAUUGGGCGUAAAGAGCUCGUAGGCGGUCUGUCGCGUCUGCUGUGAAAACUCAGGGCUUAACCCUGAGCUUGCAGUGGGUACGGGCAGACUAGAGUGCGGUAGGGGAGACUGGAAUUCCGUGGUGUAGCGGUUGAAAUGCGCAGAUAUCAGGAGGAACACCGGUGGCGAAGGCGGGUCUCUGGGCCGAUACUGACGCUGAGGAGCGAAAAGCGUGGGGGAGCGAACAGG